AAACAGCAAGAAAACGAACGCUAGAGAUGAACACCUUGUAGUUGCAGCUGAAGAUUUGCUGGCUGAUAUGGG
rnacentral:sRNA from 14 species